ensembl:lncRNA
GAAAAUAUAAUAUAAUAAAUACAUUAAUAUAUUUCAUAUUAAGCAUAGUUUAGUCCUUUUAAAGUAAUUAAUUUUACUCGAGACAAAAUAUUAUCUGGUUGUUUUUCAAAAAACCCGCGCAAAUUUCCGUCAGUAACGUCCGCUCGCACAUCCACGGCUCACCCUUUCACGGGAUCACAACGGGACGGCUGGAAAAUAACAGGGAGACAGAAGUGGAGAUGGAGUCUGACUUGAGAUACGCAGUGAUUAAAUUCCCCCAAGACAACACAGUUGACGUAGUUCCUUCCAACUGGCUUGAAAAAACAACAGAGAGAAUAUAUUGCUACUGGCCAAGAAAAAUUUUUACUGCUAAAGCAAAAAGGAGAGACAAUCCAGAUACUACCCUCUGGUCAAAACAUGUUUCAGUGGUUCUGGUGUAUGCAGAUAGCUAUGAGGAAGCCAGACUGAAGGCCAACCAGGCUACAGUGACAUCAAACCUGGAAAGCGAAGAGGAGCCAACACGGAGACCAGUAAGACCUCCAGCGCGAUAUAGGAGACAGCUGGAUAGUGGUGAUGACGAAGACUCACCGCCACCAAAGACACGCAUUGUCAGCACACCAAAAUUUACCCCAAGAACAGAAUAUUUUGAAGAACAAAGACAGUUAAAUACUCCAAGCUGUGGCACCACUCAACAAGGUUUUCUAAGUGCCCAAGAACCAGCACCCACAGUGUCUAACUGGGAAACGCAACAUGAAGGUCCAUUACUUGAGCCUCCUUGGAGGCAGAACCCCUGGAGAUGCCAUCCGCAGGGUAUUGCGGACAGUCGGAGUAAACAGCGUUUGGUCGCAGUAUAGCAUGAAGGGAAGGAAGGGGAAAAAAACGUUUAAAGACCUUGCCAUUUGCAGUGUGAUCAUUCGUAAGUAUUACAUUUUACAUUACAUUUUGUAACACUCACUGCAUU